AGCGAACGCUGGCGGCAGGCCUAACACAUGCAAGUCGAACGAUUAAAGCUCUCUUCGGAGAGUGUAUAAAGUGGCGAACGGGUGAGUAACGCGUGGGAACGCGCCCUUCACUACGGGACAACGUCGGGAAACUGACGCUAAUACCGUAUAAUGACUCCGGUCCAAAGAUUUAUCGGUGAAGGAGCGGCCCGCGUCUGAUUAGCUAGUUGGUGAGGUAAAGGCUUACCAAGGCUACGAUCAGUAGCAGGUCUGAGAGGAUGAUCUGCCACACUGGGACUGAGACACGGCCCAGACUCCUACGGGAGGCAGCAGUUAGGAAUAUUGGACAAUGGGCGAAAGCCUGAUCCAGCCAUGCCGCGUGUGUGAUGAAGGCCCUAGGGUUGUAAAGCACUUUCGUUGGGGAUGAUAAUGACCGUACCCAAAGAAGAAGCACCGGCUAACUUCGUGCCAGCCGCCGCAGUAACAC
rnacentral:rRNA from 1 species